rnacentral:tRNA from 1 species
AGGGUAAUAGUUAAAUAUAACAUUUGAAUUGCAAUCAAAAAUUAUUAAUUUUAUUAAUUUAUCUUA